rnacentral:tRNA from 1 species
AAGAAAGUGGCGAGAACUGCUAACUCACGCAACCGUAACUAAGACGUACGGCUUUCUU